UGCAUCAGAGAGAUUCCCAUCUA
rnacentral:snRNA from 1 species